rnacentral:rRNA from 1 species
GAUGAACGCUGGCGGCGUGCUUAACACAUGCAAGUCGAACGAAGCACUUUGAUCGAUUUCUUCGGAUUGAAAUUUUAGUGACUGAGUGGCGGACGGGUGAGUAACGCGUGGGUAACCUGCCUCACACAGGGGGAUAACAGUUGGAAACGGCUGCUAAUACCGCAUAAGCGCACAGUACCGCAUGGUACAGUGUGAAAAAACUCCGGUGGUGUGAGAUGGACCCGCGUCUGAUUAGCUAGUUGGCAGGGUAACGGCCUACCAAGGCGACGAUCAGUAGCCGACCUGAGAGGGUGACCGGCCACAUUGGGACUGAGACACGGCCCAAACUCCUACGGGAGGCAGCAGU